CUUCCAGUAGCACCUUAGAGACCAACAAAGUUUGUUCUUGGUAUGAGCUUUCGUGUGCAUGCACACUUCUUCAGAUACCAGCUCAUAUCAAUAACAAACGUAGUUGCUCUCUAAGGUGCUACUGGAAG
rnacentral:miRNA from 1 species